UAAAUUAGCCACAACCUUUUGUUUAUCAGGUAAUAAUUCAGCUAAUAAUUUUGCGGUGUUUUAAAUGCAUAUUUCACCACACUGAUAAGAUUAAACGUGGAAUAUGAAGUGCAGCGCGGAAAGACAACGACUCUAUGUUUCUUUUAGCGACAUCACUCAGGGAUGCGCAUGAUUCUCAUCUGACACCUGAGCGCUUACCGCAUCUGCGUGUUUACCGGAAGACAGACACCUUAAUGACUAUCGAUUAGAGCCGGGAGAUCAGAACCCCCAGUGAACAGCUGCGAAGGUAAGUUCUACUCUUAAUUGGUGCUGUCGGAGGAUAAAAUAAGUUGAUAUCGGAAGUUUCUGUGUGUCCGUUUGAACCACACAAAUACAAGAACAAAAGGUUGAACUGCAGUCACUAGCGCGAACCUUAAUAACUUUUCGGUAAUUUACAAAAUUACGCAGAUAAAAACGUAGGGGCUCCAUCUUUUUCUUAAUUCAUUUAGAUAGCAUGCAGAUUUAAUUUAAAUGGUUUGUGCAUCACCAUGUGACUGUAACUUCCAGGGAUGAUCACAAAAUGUGAAGAAUUUAAGUGAUUUUCAUCUACUACAUACGUGUAAAAACGUAUGAAAACCUCUUAGCAAUAAAAAUCUUGGAAGUCUCUCUUAUUUGUCAUAAGUAACCUACUAUUAUACGCAAGUAUUACUUACAAGGUUACUUAUAACUGUGCUAAAAAUUAAAUAACGCGUGCUCUCAAGCUGUUAACCUUUGAGUCGUUUAGGCUUGACGGCGGAUUCGCUCACAUUAGCCGUAAAAUGGAUCGCGAAAGGAGACAGCAGCAAAAGACGAACGCGGGACGGAGACGCUGUCCUUCCGCCCGCAAUCAUGGAGAAGGAGAAAAUUAAUCGGAUUGCAUUUCAGUGUGUAAUUUGCUAAAGCGGGCUAACAAGAGAACAAAAGUGUUUGUCAAUCACCUUUAAUCAAUCAUCGCAUUUAAAUGCACAACAUUAAUCAAAGAAGAUCAUGGACUAAGCACAACAGCACCCAUAAUAAACAUUUUUCCUGUAAUGGGAUUCCAAUAAUAUAAAUAUGAUUAAAGGCAAAUCGGAAGUUAUAAACCGUGACUGAUGAAUUAAAACAAUCUCCCUUCAAGCAAGAUUCAAGUAAUGCCAAGGUCACAUUUAAAGGGAUUUACACUAUAAAAUAUUAUCUUAAUAGGCUGAGUGAAGGGAGAAUAGUAUGGAAUUACCCCAAAGUCAUGUGCGAUUUUGUAAACUAUGGGAAAAAUUUGCAGACAGGCAUAAUGCUGCAUGCAGAGUUUAAUCAUGAAUGCAGAGCGGCUGACUUCAUUACUGCGUCCCCUUAUUUGGACAGUGACCUUGUAUCCGCCUUAUUACCGUGUCACGGCUCCUCUCUGGUGCGACUGGGACUGCGUCAGACUCGAUAUGCGUCUACGCUCCUGACCCGGAAGCCGCCAUCCGACUAAAGACAGGAGUCCGACAGACAUGCCGGGUGGUGUACGCGACACCUCAUGGCUCGGCACUUUGACCGAUUCGGUUGUUGCGGGUCCUGGAGCUCCCAUGAAUGCAGAAGAAGCUCACUGUGUGUGGCUGGACAUGCAGAUCCCAGGACAGCACCAGAAAUCCCUCCAUUAUACAUCCACUCCAACCUAUGCAAGGAUUACCUUAUUUUCUCAAGUAUAUAAGUCGAAACGGAUGAAGAGUCAGAAGAUAAAUGGACAUUUCAAUACUCUCCAUGGUAUUACUUCAGCAAUUACACUUGCCAAAGCAGAAAUUAUUACUGGAAAUGCGCAAACAAGGGAAGAUACAGCAGACAUACAGGGAGCAACGUGGCAGCCAGAUCAUCGAGGAAGCAGCUGGGAGAAUGCAGCUUGUGUUCAUCGUGACCCACAAAAGCUACAGGACAUCUCAGGCACAGACAGAAUACAACAUAAAGCUGGAUUUUUAAUGUAAAAGCUGCAUUUUCAAAAUGUUUUAUAUUGUUUUUUGCCCCUGUGUUUUAACGUUUGAACGCUAUAUCAAAAUGCUUGGUUUGGUGCUGUCUGUUUUUAACACAUGAGAAAUGUGACUGUUCUUUUUAUCUAAUCACCAGUAAAUCUAAUAUAUAUUCCUGCUAUUUCACUGCCUGUGGAUUUGGUCUGCAUUCAGUGAGUGAUUAAGUUUUGCGAUCAACAAAGUCUUAAUAAUGUAUAUUAAACAGUCGGCUGACUGAUUUUAUGGGUUUUUUUCGGACAAUCUUUUGCGGGCAGUAGCUAAUUUUGAGAAACGUUCA